rnacentral:lncRNA from 1 species
GUGCAGACACGGAGCGGCGGUGCCUAUUCGAAGAUUCUGGGACGUUUGUGCGGCGGGAUGGCGAUGGCGAACGAUAUUGGCCUACACCGGUGAACAACGCCGGCGGUGACGGAGAAUUCGACGGGAUUGGCCCUGGCGCCGACGGAAAGUUGGACGGGUAGACAGGACUCCCAUCACCUUUUAACAGAUCCUAUGGAACGGAACCCAAUGUGCAAUUCUAUUCCCUCACACAGUCGCUGAACCAUUAAAAAACCUAUUUUGGAACAUGAUCCUUGCAGCAACAGAAAUGCUGCAACAAUAAAGUUUCAAUUGAUCUUGUAGAGUAAUCUACAUCCUUGAUGUAUUGGAUCCACUCGUUAAUGAAUUGCCAUGACUCAAAAACAAGUCUACUCUAACUACCAUCCUCCAACAUAUGAGGCGUGUAACAUCAUUCUGCUGAACAUGAAAAACCACUAUCGAAGACUCUACAGCGUGAAGCCAGCUGUAGACACAUCCCCGCCAGAAUCAUACAAACUGCUGACCCGUAAGACAACUAGAUCUCUUUCCUGCCUGGAUUUAAACCUUUCAAAUCUUUCCUCCUUUAAGCUGUGCCAACGACCUGACAUCAAACAUGAAGUACAAAAUCAUGAGGUGCAAAGAAAAACGAAGUCCAUUAACAAAAGGCAUUCCUGCAUUGGUGUUGACAAAGCAGCAAACCAACAUUGCCGUGAGAGAAACAGAGUGAAACCAUCCAUCUCUAGUUGUCACGGAAAUCCUCGUACAGUUCUAAUCAAUAUGGAAAAUUCUAAAGUAUAUACUCCAAAAGAAAAAGUCUUGGACUCUGGGAAAGCAUGCUCCGAAUCUAGUCAAGACUCAGCUUACAAUGAAGGUGAGAUUGGGUCAAGUGAGCGAGGCAGCCGCACUCCUACCCCUGAAACUGUUGUGAACACUUCAUCCAAGCUUGCUUCCAACCCGGCUUUAGGAUCCUCUACCUACUGUAGAAGGACCAGAAGCUACCUUUAUCUGAAGUUCCUAGCUGAAAUCACAGAUGAAAUAUUAAAGAAAGGUGUCGUCACAAACAAAGCUCUGAAACGGAUAUUUAACCACCAUCUUGAGGCCAACAUUUACCAUUUGAAUCAGCACCGCAUGCAGCUAGAGUUAGAAACCCUCUGCAUCAAACUUGGCAUUCCAGAAGAUGACGCCCAGAAUGCAGCAGACUUCGGUGUUGGUAGCGGUGAAGGCCCAACUUGUCAACCUCUCUUCCACGACCUCCCUGGUUUUGACGACCAAAUGAACACCAAAUCAGUACUGCAGAAAGGUCUUCUCACUUCCAAAAUGGCCUGGACGCCUGAAGUUUUGGAGGCUUUUACUGUGCUCGGUGACAAUCAGAAACUCAUCAACAGUAUACAAUCGAGCGUCAAAAGUGUGGUUAAGAAUUUGCGGCAGGUCAGUUUGUCGGUUUCUGAAUCAAAAAUUAGUAGUAAAGGGUCAUCCAAUAACCAAGAUAAUAGUGAGAAAGUCAGUGGGUUAAGUUCCUCAAGGACAGAUGCAAACACGGAUCCCCAAAUUACAAGUUUGCAGAUGAGUUCAUGUGCCCUUCAAACUCUUGAUCCCCACAGAACGCCUCACUCCAGUACAUCUGGUGACAGCUGCCAAAAUUCCCGUACUUUGGAUAACAACAUUAGCAUAAAAUCCGCUAAGGAAAAUGUUAAUUUAAGUUUUACUAGGUCAGGAGUAAGCGUGCUCUCCCAAAAUACUAAUGUGCAGGAAACUUGUUUACAUUCUGUACCUCUUCGUAAUGUGAUAGAUUCUGAUUCAGUAACGGUGGAGAAAAAUGACGGUCCAAGUCUUCGAAACUCUAAUGUAAUGCCGGAAAAUGUUGAUAGCAUAAAAUCAAGUCCAAAAAGCUGUGAUCUAUCGAUGCCAUUAAAUGAAUCGGAAGGAGCUCAGGUUUCUGAGUCCAUUGAAUUGCAAAAGACUGAAGCAGCGCCCCAAAAAUCUUUGAAUAGUUUAGAGUGGAACUCCCCUCAUGCGAGGAUAGACAGCGUUACAGAGCUUGAAAAUUCCCAGGAAGCAGUUAACUUUUAA